rnacentral:rRNA from 1 species
AUAAACUAGGAUUAGAUACCCUAUUAUUAAAAAUGUAAAUUUAUGUUAGAUUAGUAUUAGUUAUGUUCUUGAAAAUUAAAGAUUUUGGCGGUUUUUUAGUCUUUUCAGAGGAACCUGUUUUUUAAUCGAUAGUCCACGAUUUAAUUAACUUUUUUUAUUAGUUUGUAUAUCGUCGUAGUUAGAAUAUUUUAUAAGAAUUUUAAUAUUCAAAAUAUUUAAUUUAUAGGAAAUCAGAUCAAGGUAUAGCUUAUAAAAAAGUAGGAAUGGGUUACAUUUAUUUAAAUAAGGGAUUAUUUUUGUGAGAAAAAUAAGAAUUUGGAUUUGAAAGUAAUAAUUUUUAAUUAAGAAUUAUGAUUUUAGCUCUAAAAUAUGCACAUAUC